rnacentral:rRNA from 1 species
UCCGGUUGAUCCUGCCAGAGGUUACUGCUAUCGAGAUUCGACUAAGCCAUGCGAGUUGAAUGUUCUUCGGAACAUGGCGGACUGCUCAGUAACACGUGGACAACCUACCCUUGGGUCCGGCAUAAUCCUGGGAAACUGGGAAUAAUUCCGGAUAGGUCACCGAUGCUGGAAUGCGCGGUGGCCGAAAGCUCCGGCGCCCGAGGAUGGGUCUGCGGCCUAUCAGGUUGUAGUGGGUGUAACGUACCUACUAGCCUACGACGGGUACGGGUUGUGAGAGCAAGAGCCCGGAGAUGGAUUCUGAGACACGAAUCCAGGCCCUACGGGGUGCAGCAGGCGCGAAAACUUUACAAUGCGGGAAACCGUGAUAAGGGGAUCUCGAGUGCCAGCAUAUAAUGUUGGCUGUCCAGAUGCCUAAAAAGCAUUGUUAGCAAGGGCCGGGCAAGACCGGUGCCAGCCGCCGCGGUAACACCGGCGGCCCGAGUGGUAACCGCUAUUAUUGGGUCUAAAGGGUCUGUAGCCGGCCAGGUAAGUCCCUUGGGAAAUCUGGCAGCUCAACUGUCAGGCUGCUAGGGGAUACUGUUUGGCUUGGGACCGGGAGAGGUGAGAGGUACCUUGGGGGUAGGGGUGAAAUCUUGGUAUUCCUGGGGGCCCCCCCGGGGGGAAGGGUUUUUCCCAAAAGGUGUUCCGGUUGUAAGGGAAAAAAAUUGGGGGCCAAACCCGGUUUAAUACCCGGGGUUUCCAGCCAAAAAAAACUCUUCUGGGUUUUCCUCCGGGGCCCCCUUUUUUUGUCCUGAGGAACCCCUAAAGCCACCCCCUGAAUUUUUGCCCCAGGGUUAAAUUUAAAGGAAUUGGGGGGGACCCUUACAAGGGGGGACCGGGGGUUUAAUGGGUUUAACCCCGGAAAUUUUCCCGGGGGGAAACAGUUUUAAAAGUUCGGGUAAAACUUUCCCAUUAAGUGAAGGGUGGGGCAAGCCUUUCUCAAUUUGACUUGAAAGCCUCCGGUAAGUCAGGCAAGGACGGAACCCACUCCCACGUUGCCAGCAUUUUUUCGGAAUGAUUGGUACACUGGGAGACCGCCGUUGCUAAGCGGGAGAAGGAGUGGGCAACGAUAGUCAGUUAUGCCCNGAUUUCCCGGGCUACACGCGGGCUACAAUGUUGGUACAAUGGGCAUCUACCCCGAAAGNNGAAGGNAAUCUCUUAAAACCAAUCGUAGUUCGAUGANNGGGCUGCAACUCGCCCUCAUGAAGCUGGAAUCCGUAGUAAUCGCGUUUCAACAGAACGCGGUGAAUACGUCCCUGCUCCUUGCACACACCGCCCGUCAAACCACCCGAGUAGGGUCUGGAUGAGGGUGUGUUUUAUUGACACAUUCGAAUCUGGGCUUUGCAAGGGGGGUU